rnacentral:rRNA from 1 species
UACAGAGGGGGCAAGCGUUAUUCGGAAUUAUUGGGCGUAAAGCGUGCGCAGGCGGUUUGUUAAGUCUGAUGUGAAAGCCCUGGGCUCAACCUGGGAAUGGCAUUGGAAACUGGCGACCUAGAGUGCGGUAGAGGGUAGUGGAAUUCCCGGUGUAGCAGUGAAAUGCGUAGAGAUCGGGAGGAACAUCCGUGGCGAAGGCGACUACCUGGACCAGCACUGACACUGAGGCACGAAAGCGUGGGGAGCAAACAGG